CACGAACGCUGGCGGCAGGCUUAACACAUGCAAGUCGAGCGCCCCGCAAGGGGAGCGGCAGACGGGUGAGUAACGCGUGGGAAUCUACCCAUCUCUACGGAAUAGCGCAUGGAAACGUGUGCUAAUACCGUAUGCGUCCUUCGGGAGAAAGAUUUAUCGGAGAUGGAUGAGCCCGCGUUGGAUUAGCUAGUUGGUGGGGUAAAGGCCUACCAAGGCGACGAUCCAUAGCUGGUCUGAGAGGAUGAUCAGCCACACUGGGACUGAGACACGGCCCAGACUCCUACGGGAGGCAGCAGUGGGGAAUAUUGGACAAUGGGCGCAAGCCUGAUCCAGCCAUGCCGCGUGAGUGAUGAAGGCCCUAGGGUUGUAAAGCUCUUUCACCGGUGAAGAUAAUGACGGUAACCGGAGAAGAAGCCCCGGCUAACUACGUGCCAGCCGCCGCCGUAAAAC
rnacentral:rRNA from 1 species